AGCUCAUUUGGUAUGAGCGGUCCCCUCACAAGGGAGGGGCGGGCAGGUUCGAACCCCUCA
rnacentral:tRNA from 1 species